AAGCCAUGCAUGUCUAAGUAUAAGCUUUUAUACGGCGAAACUGCGAAUGGCUCAUUAAAACAGUUAUAGUUUAUUUGAUGGUCUUUACUACAUGGAUAACCGUGGUAAUUCUAUGGCUAAUACAUGCGCACAUACCUCUUCCCUCGUGGAAGGGUAGUGUUUAUUAGAUACAGAACCAACCCACCUUCGGGUGGUCCUCAGGUGAUUCAUAGUAACCGAACGGAUCGCAUUAUGGCCUUUUGGUCGGCGAUGGAUCAUUCAAGUUUCUGACCUAUCAGCUUUCGACGGUACUGUAUUGGACUACCGUGGCAGUGACGGGUAACGGGGAAUUAGGGUUCGAUUCCGGAGAGGGAGCCUGAGAAACGGCUACCACAUCUAAGGAAGGCAGCAGGCGCGCAAAUUACCCAAUCCUGACUCAGGGAGGUAGUGACAAGAAAUAACAACACUGGAAAUUAUAUUUCUAGUGAUUG
rnacentral:rRNA from 2 species